UACGUAGGGUGCAAGCGUUGUCCGGAAUUAUUGGGCGUAAAGAGCUCGUAGGCGGUCUGUCGCGUCGGCUGUGAAAUCCCGAGGCUCAACCUCGGGUCUGCAGUCGAUACGGGCAAACUAGAGUAUUGCAGGGGAGACUGGAAUUCCUGGUGUAGCGGUGAAAUGCGCAGAUAUCAGGAAGAACACCCGUGGCUAAGGCGGCUCUCUAGUACGGUACUGACGCUGAGGAGCGAAAGCGUGGGGAGCGAACAGG
rnacentral:rRNA from 1 species